UAAGGAAUAUUGCGCAAUGGGCGACAGCCUGACGCAGCGACGCCGCGUGGGGGAUGAAGGUCUUCGGAUUGUAAACCCCUUUCGGCAGGGAAGAUGGAACGGGUAACCGUUCGGACGGUACCUGCAGAAGCAGCCACGGCUAACUUCGUGCCAGCAGCCGCGGUAAUACGAAGGUGGCAAUGCGUUGUUCGGAUUUACUGGGCGUACAGGGAGCGUAGGCGGUUGGGUAAGCCCUCCGUGAAAUCUCCGGGCCUAACCCGGAAAGUGCGGAGGGGACUGCUCGGCUAGAGGAUGGGAGAGGAGCGCGGAAUUCCCGGUGUAGCGGUGAACAUGCGUAGAGAUCGGGAGGAAGGCCGGUGGCGAAGGCGGCGCUCUGGAACAUUUCUGACGCUCAGGCUCGACAAGCGUGGGGAGCAAACAGGAUUAGAUACCCUGGUAGUCCACGCCUUACCACGAUGGAUACUAAGUGUCGGCGGGUUACCGCCGGUGCCGCAGCUAACGCAUUAAGUAUCCCGCCUGGGAAGUCACGUGCCGCNNAGGUCUGA
rnacentral:rRNA from 1 species